rnacentral:lncRNA from 10 species
GUCAAGGUGGGUGGAUCCCUUGAGCCCAGGGGUUUGAGAGCAGUCUGGGUAAUAUGGUGAAACCCCAUCUCUAAAAAAAUGCAAAAAUUAGCUGGGUGUGGUGGCUCCAUCUGUAGUCUCAGAUACUCAAGAGGCUACAAUGGGAGGAUCACUUGAGCCUGGGAGGUGGAGACUGCACUUAGCUGAGAUUGCGCCACUGCACUCCAACCUGGGUAACAGAGCGAGACGCUGUCUCAAGAAGAAGAAAUAAAUGAAUAUGAAAUUGAAGGCAGGCAUGGUGGUUCACGCCUGCAGUCCUAGCCUUUUGGUAGGCCAAGUCAGGAGGGCUGCUUGAGGCCAGGAGUUCCAGAUCA